AGUGAACGCUGGCGGUAGGCCUAACACAUGCAAGUCGAACGGCAGCACAGUAAGAGCUUGCUCUUACGGGUGGCGAGUGGCGGACGGGUGAGGAAUACAUCGGAAUCUACUUUUUCGUGGGGGAUAACGUAGGGAAACUUACGCUAAUACCGCAUACGACCUACGGGUGAAAGCAGGGGAUCUUCGCACCUUGCGCGAUUGAAUGAGCCGAUGUCGGAUUAGCUAGUUGGCGGGGUAAAGGCCCACCAAGGCGACGAUCCGUAGCUGGUCUGAGAGGAUGAUCAGCCACACUGGAACUGAGACACGGUCAAGACUCCUACGGGAGGCAGCAGUGGGGAAUAUUGGACAAUGGGCGCAAGCCUGAUCCAGCCAUACCGCGUGGGUGAAGAAGGCCUUCGGGUUGUAAAGCCCUUUUGUUGGGAAAGAAAAGCAGCAGGUUAAUACCCCGCUGUUCUGACGGUACCCAAAGAAUAAGCACCGGCUAACUUCGUG
rnacentral:rRNA from 1 species